CGUCAAACAUACAACCAAGCAACCAAGCAGCAGGAAAUGAAAUGAAUAGUAAAUAGUAAAGAGUAUUUAAUAUUUAGCACCAACACACAAUAUAAUCACGUAGUUCAAAAUAAAUUCAAGAUGAACUAGAAAUUGAAAUGAAAAUGAAUCUGAACCAAGGAUGUAAAGAAUGUAAGUAAAGUAAAAGACGGUAGACAACAGACAGCAAAUAUCAGUCAUAAGAGAAAAAGUAAACAUAGAACGCUGAUAAUUAUUGUCAGAAGUAAAGGGCAAAGUAUAAAAUAUAACCAGAAACAGCGGAUUCUGUUGCAAAGUAGGCACACGCAUCACCACAAAUGAAGAAACAGGAUCACCAUAAAGAAAGAAAGGGUGACUGAAAGAAGAAUUACAGAUAAUAAGAACUGAACUGAGAGCUUAUAUGAUGUGCUCGAGCCAGCGAAGCUGAGAAUCCCUCCUGCGAGGCCAAGAUAGCCAAGAUAACCAAGAUGUACUUAGAGGACGAGCAACAUAAAAUUGAGCAGACCAAUCAGUGGCGCUAACGCCAAACUUCGUAUACAAUACAUAAUAUAUUCCUAUUACAUCGAUUAAUGAGAAAGGUAUCACAUCUUCAAAGAAGGGGAAGAUCGGCUGGAAAUAAAAGCAGAAAGAAGAAAUAGAUGGAACAUUCCACAGAACCACGACCUCACACUCGAUUAAUAAGCAAAGAUGGUGGAGAAACAAAAUGAUCAGAUGGAGGCAAUGAACAAUAAAUAGGGGACUUAUAGCAGUCGGCAGGCCAAGAGACAAUAAAAUAAAGCAACGACAGGUGUGACACAAAUUAAAAUAAUCAAGUAAGAGUAGACAGUAAUUACAAGAAUAGAAAUGUAAAGAGAAGAAUGAAGGAAGAACAAGAAGAAAACAAGAAAGAAAAGAAAGAUCAGUCUCGAAUGACAAUGAAAUCAAGAUAAAGUAUAAAUGAAAUAAAAUCAUUGAAGUGUAUAAAUACUGAAAUCAUUAACAGGAACCGUAUACUCUCACGACCACUAUCAUUCCUUAAAGGAACAGAAGAACAAACAGAGCAUUGUAGCAGCCCAGAAGAAAAUUAGUCAGAAAACGACUCAAAUCAGA